rnacentral:rRNA from 1 species
AGUGAACGCUGGCGGUAGGCCUAACACAUGCAAGUCGGACGGCAGCACAGGAGAGCUUGCUCUCUGGGUGGCGAGUGGCGGACGGGUGAGGAAUACAUCGGAAUCUACUUUUUCGUGGGGGAUAACGUAGGGAAACUUACGCUAAUACCGCAUACGACCUACGGGUGAAAGCAGGGGAUCUUCGGACCUUGCGCGAUUGAAUGAGCCGAUGUCGGAUUAGCUAGUUGGCGGGGUAAAGGCCCACCAAGGCGACGAUCCGUAGCUGGUCUGAGAGGAUGAUCAGCCACACUGGAACUGAGACACGGGCCAGACUCCUACGGGGGGCAGCAGUGGGGAAUAUUGGCCAAUGGGCGCAAGCCUGAUCCAGCCAUACCGCGUGGGUGAAGAAGGUCUUCGGGGUGUAAAGCCCUUUUGUUGGGAAAGAAACCCAGCUGGUUAAUACCCGGUUGGGAUGACGGUACCCAAAGAAUAAGCACCGGCUAACUUCGUGCCAGCCGCCGCAGUAA